rnacentral:rRNA from 1 species
GAUGAACGCUGGCGGCGUGCCUAAUACAUGCAAGUCGAGCGAACGGACGAGAAGCUUGCUUCUCUGAUGUUAGCGGCGGACGGGUGAGUAACACGUGGAUAACCUACCUAUAAGACUGGGAUAACUUCGGGAAACCGGAGCUAAUACCGGAUAAUAUUUUGAACCGCAUGGUUCAAAAGUGAAAGACGGCCUUGCUGUCACUUAUAGAUGGAUCCGCGCUGCAUUAGCUAGUUGGUAAGGUAACGGCUUACCAAGGCAACGAUGCAUAGCCGACCUGAGAGGGUGAUCGGCCACACUGGAACUGGGACACGGUCCAGACUCCUACGGGAGGCAGCAGUAGGGAAUCUUCCGCAAUGGGCGAAAGCCUGACGGAGCAACGCCGCGUGAGUGAUGAAAGUCUUCGGAUCGUAAAACUCUGUUAUUAGGGAAGAACAUAUGUGUAAGUAACUGUGCACAUCUUGACGGUACCUAAUCAGAAAGCCACGGCUAACUACGUGCCAGCAGCCGCGGUAAUACGUANGUGGCAAGCGUUAUCCGGAAUUAUUGGGCGUAAAGCGCGCGUAGGCGGUUUUUUAGUCUGAUGUGAAAGCCCACGGCUCAUCCGUGGAGGGUCAUUGGAAACUGGAAAACUUGAGUGCAGAAGAGGAAAGUGGAAUUCCAUGUGUAGCGGUGAAAUGCGCAGAGAUAUGGAGGAACACCAGUGGCGAAGGCGACUUUCUGGUCUGUAACUGACGCUGAUGUGCGAAAGCGUGGGGAUCAAACAGGAUUAGAUACCCUGGUAGUCCACGCCGUAAACGAUGAGUGCUAAGUGUUAGGGGGUUUCCGCCCCUUAGUGCUGCAGCUAACGCAUUAAGCACUCCGCCUGGGGAGUACGACCGCAAGGUUGAAACUCAAAGGAAUUGACGGGGACCCGCACAAGCGGUGGAGCAUGUGGUUUAAUUCGAAGCAACGCGAAGAACCUUACCAAAUCUUGACAUCCUUUGACAACUCUAGAGAUAGAGCCUUCCCCUUCGGGGGACAAAGUGACAGGUGGUGCAUGGUUGUCGUCAGCUCGUGUCGUGAGAUGUUGGGUUAAGUCCCGCAACGAGCGCAACCCUUAAGCUUAGUUGCCAUCAUUAAGUUGGGCACUCUAAGUUGACUGCCGGUGACAAACCGGAGGAAGGUGGGGAUGACGUCAAAUCAUCAUGCCCCUUAUGAUUUGGGCUACACACGUGCUACAAUGGACAAUACAAAGGGCAGCGAAACCGCGAGGUCAAGCAAAUCCCAUAAAGUUGUUCUCAGUUCGGAUUGUAGUCUGCAACUCGACUACAUGAAGCUGGAAUCGCUAGUAAUCGUAGAUCAGCAUGCUACGGUGAAUACGUUCCCGGGUCU